rnacentral:rRNA from 1 species
UGGGGAAUAUUGGACAAUGGGGGCAACCCUGAUCCAGCAAUGCCGCGUGAGUGAAGAAGGCCUUCGGGUUGUAAAGCUCUUUUGUCAGGGAAGAAACGGUAGUAGCGAAUAACUAUUACUAAUGACGGUACCUGAAGAAUAAGCACCGGCUAACUACGUGCCAGCAGCCGCGGUAAUACGUAGGGUGCAAGCGUUAAUCGGAAUUACUGGGCGUAAAGCGUGCGCAGGCGGUUGUGUAAGUCAGAUGUGAAAUCCCCGGGCUCAACCUGGGAAUUGCAUUUGAGACUGCACGGCUAGAGUGUGUCAGAGGGGGGUAGAAUUCCACGUGUAGCAGUGAAAUGCGUAGAUAUGUGGAGGAAUACCGAUGGCGAAGGCAGCCCCCUGGGAUAACACUGACGCUCAUGCACGAAAGCGUGGGGAGCAAACAGGAUUAGAUACCCGAGUAGUCCCUGAGCGGGCUGGCAAGGCGCAU